GUGUGCUUAUGUAACUACUAUUCUCCACUAGAGGGCGUUUCUCAGUGACGAGUCAAAUAAUUCAGAAAGAAGAAGCAGCCAUUUUACAGAGGACAGAGCGGAGAGAAAUAAUGUUCAUUUAAAGCCUAAAUAUUUCGAAAGAUAGUAAAAGAUGAGUGAAAAAAAAAAGUUUUUUUGUUUUUGUUUGUUUGUUUGUUUGUUUUUUUCAGAUGAAAUCUAUCACUUUUUUUUCUGUUGAUGGGUACUCUCUGAGUCGACUUUAGACAAUCUAAUGGCGAGCCAAUAACCAAUUACACAUAAUUGAUGGCACAGGGUGUCAUUUCCUGCAGUGAAUUCAGCACCCUUAAAGUAUCUUCAGUCCCUGGAUACAGAUAAGAGAAUCCGACACACCAUUAGGAAAACUUCAGGGAAAAUAACCGGAGUGUUACAGCGGGUUACACUUAUAUGUGCACAUUUGUGCUGCAGGUCAUUGUGUCGCAGCAUCACAUACACAAGAUGAGUCAGUCUCCGUCUAUCAAUGAAAAUGCACCUGUCACAACAACCUGACGCCCCAUUGUGAUUUUGUUCCUCAUAUUUUUGUUCUGAAGGCAUAAUGAGAGGAAUAUUUGCCACAUGGAGUUCUAGAAAAUUACUUUAGGCAUGUUAGAAAAGCAUCUGAAUGUAAAUUUAAAGAAGGUAAAAUGGUUGAGUCAUGACAGACAUUUCCCUUAGUAGUCAACAGCCUUGAGUAGAGCACAUCAUUUAUAUCUGCAAGAGUAUGAUUAUCAUUCAAUUCAGCAGAAAAUAAACAAUGCAUUACAUACUUUUUCAACUGCCAAAGCCAAUUUCAUUCAGAUUAAAGGCUUGAAGAGUGCUAAUUUCGGACCCUGGUUAUAGGUAAGAGAAUAUUUGCAAGGUAAUAAUAUGUACACUAACAGUAAGAAGUUUAUUAAAUUGUGUUAAGCCAAGAAGUUAGAAAGAACAGACAGUGACAGUAAUAGUGCUCACAUCCUCAGUGAUUAAUAUCCCAAAAAGAAAGAAAGAGUUACAUAAAAUCUGCCACAGAGUUAUUACAGUGACCAGUCGUGUAAUAUUAGCAUCAUGUUGCUGCAACAAAGUAUUCAUCUUCAUUCCCAUUAUAGAAGUACUUAUUUAAAGCACCAAAAAUGUGCCGUGUAAACACUGUGGUUUAUUACUGUUUGAAGGAAGCUCUGUGUUAAAAAUACUCCAUUUGUCCCGAAUUUCAUCAUAAAAUGCAGAGUUUCCACUUUCAUUCAUAUUUAAUUCUAUAUAUUCACUC